AGUGAACGCUGGCGGUAGGCCUAACACAUGCAAGUCGAACGGCAGCACAGUAAGAGCUUGCUCUUACGGGUGGCGAGUGGCGGACGGGUGAGGAAUACAUCGGAAUCUACUUUUUCGUGGGUGAUAACGUAGGGAAACUGACGCUAAUACCGCAUACGACCUACGGGUGAAAGCAGGGGAUCUUCGCACCUUGCGCGAUUGAUUGAGCCGAUGUCGGAUUAGCUAGUUGGCGGGGUAAAGGCCCACCAAGGCGACGAUCCGUAGCUGGUCUGAGAGGAUGAUCAGCCACACUGGAACUGAGACACGGUCCAGACUCCUACGGGAGGCAGCAGUAGGGAAUAUUGGACAAUGGGCGCAAGCCUGAUCCAGCCAUACCGCGUGGGUGAAGAAGGCCUUCGGGUUGUAAAGCCCUGUUGUUGGGAAAGAAAAGCAGCAGGUUAAUACCCCGCUGUUCUGACGGUACCCAAAGAAUAAGCACCGGCUAACUUCGUG
rnacentral:rRNA from 1 species